ACCACCGACACCCCUCCCCACUACCCGCCACAGCCACUUCAGUUACCUCCAGAUGACUAGGAGCCAGAUAGCGAGUUAGUCACUGACUGAGGUACUGCUUCAUUAAAAGAAACUGAUCAUAGGUGAAGUAUUCCUGGGAUCAGCUCAUACUGAGUAUUUGUCCUGGCUACCAUACACAUGCACCCAGCAGUGGGAAUCUACAUAGAAAAUAAAGCACUGAAAACUGCACUUUGAGAAAGACAGAAAACUGGCAAAGCUGUUGGAUUUAGCAUGACCACUGUCGCAUAAAGACUCCUGAGCUACUGAAGUUGAGGCUGCCAUGUUCAUCUCCUGUGAAAACUGUUCAUGGCCUACAUGUUGGAAAAACACCUACAGAGCAACACCACCAUUUCAAAAAACUGCGUUCCAAAAAAUCCAAAGAUUGUUUUCACGAUACCAGUGCUUAUCCACACCAAACAGAGCACCCUGAUGGUGGUAAACAGUGUAAAGCCUGUGGAGGGUUCAAUCACUUUGUCCUUUCUUUUUCUCAUCACCAAAAUUAACUACAAAGAUCAGUACCAACACAAGGGUGAUACCGACAGCCCUCUGAAAUGCUGUCUGAAGGGUGAAGAUUUUUGUCAAAAAAUUUCUUACAUGUAAAAUUUAUAAAAAUAUGUUCCAAAA